rnacentral:miRNA from 1 species
AGCAGCAUACAGGGCUAUGA